GACGAACGCUGGCGGCGUGCUUAACACAUGCAAGUCGAGCGGAAAGGCCCUGCUUUUGUGGCGUGCUCGAGUGGCGAACGGGCGAGUAACACACGAGUAACCUGCCCUUGCCUUAGGGCUAACUUCAGGAAACUAGGGCUAAUACCGGACAGGAGCUCCUGCUGCAUGGUGGGGGGUGGAAGGUUUCGGCGGUUGGGGCUGGACUCGCGGCUUAUCAGCUUGUUGGUGGGGUAGUGGCUUACCAAGGCUUUGACUGGUAGGCCGCCUUGGAGGGUGACCGGCGCCCUGGGGCCUGCGAGACGGCCCAGAAGCCUACGGUACGCAGCAGUCGGGAAUAUGGCGCAACGGGGCGAAGUCUGAUGCAGCGGCGCCGCGGGCGGGAUGACGGCUUUCGGGUUGUAAACCGCUUUCGCCUGUGCCGAAGCGGGAGUGACGGUAAUGGGUAAAGAAGCACCGGCUAACUACGUG
rnacentral:rRNA from 1 species